CCUACGGGAGGCAGCAGUGGGGAAUUUUGGACAAUGGGCGCAAGCCUGAUCCAGCCAUGCCGCGUGAGUGAAGAAGGCCUUCGGGUUGUAAAGCUCUUUCGGCGGGGAAGAAAAGGUUCGUGCUAAUACCACGAACUAAUGACGGUACCCGAAGAAGAAGCACCGGCUAACUACGUGCCAGCAGCCGCGGUAAUACGUAGGGUGCAGGCGUUAAUCGGAAUUACUGGGCGUAAAGCGUGCGCAGGCGGUUUGUUAAGACAGAUGUGAAAUCCCCGGGCUUAACCUGGGAACUGCGUUUGUAACUGGCAAGCUAGAGUGUGGCAGAGGGGGGUGGAAUUCCAAGUGUAGCAGUGAAAUGCGUAGAUAUUUGGAGGAACACCGAUGGCGAAGGCAGCCCCCUGGGCUAACACUGACGCUCAUGCACGAAAGCGUGGGGAGCAAACAGGAUUAGAUACCCUGGUAGUCCACGCCCUAAACUAUGUCAACUGGUUGUCGGGGAANCAAUUCCUUGGUAACGAAGCUAACGCGUGAAGUUGACCCGCCGUGGGAGGUACGGCCGCGAACGGUUAAACGUUAACGAAACGGAAGUUAGACGGCGUGAGACGUGCCGACGGACGACGACGAGGGAGGUAGG
rnacentral:rRNA from 1 species